GCUUUCCUCUUUAUCGGUUUUGCUAUUUUUUGGUUUGACGUCGGUGUGAGGUCUCCAUGGUCUUAUUGGUGCUUCCGACGUUCACAGGUUCUAUAGGAAAGCUUGGCGAGAUCUAUCGUUCCUUUGUUCAAUUUUAGCGCUUAGGUUUCAAUGUUUUCCUAUGUGGUUCAGUGGUUCUCUCUUUUCUUACAUUGGUUUCUGUUUGUAUAUUAAGGGCUUGAUUGGUUCUCCCUCUGCCACCCGCAAACGCUGCGUUUGCGGGUGGUAGCGGUUAUUAGCGGUUGGCACCAAUCAUAGAAACCGCUAGAUACCGCUUUGGACCGCUCGAAAUCGCCAGAUUUCAAAAGCUCAUUCCCGCAAGCGUUUGCGGGUGCGGGCGGUAGCGGUUAAGUUAAAAAAAAAA
rnacentral:sRNA from 1 species